GAUGAACGCUGGCGGCGUGCUUAACACAUGCAAGUCGAACGGUGAAGCAGGAGCUUGCUCUUGUGGAUCAGUGGCGAACGGGUGAGUAACACGUGAGCAACCUGCACCUGACUCUGGGAUAAGCGCUGGAAACGGCGGCUAAUACUGGAUAUGUGAUGGGACCGCAUUGUCUGCAUCUGGAAAGAAUUUCGGUUGGGGAUGGGCUCGCGGCCGAUCAGCUUGUUGGUGAGGUAAUGGCUCACCAAGGCGUCGACGGGUAGCCGGCCUGAGAGGGUGACCGGCCACACUGGGACUGAGACACGGCCCAGACUCCUACGGGAGGCAGCAGUGGGGAAUAUUGCACAAUGGGCGGAAGCCUGAUGCAGCAACGCCGCGUGAGGGAUGACGGCCUUCGGGUUGUAAACCUCUUUUAGCAGGGAAGAAGCGAAAGUGACGGUACCUGCAGAAAAAGCACCGGCUAACUACGUGCCAGCCGCCGCCGUAA
rnacentral:rRNA from 1 species